GUUCUAAAUAAUUUAUAUAAAAUAUCUACUUUGGAUGUAGAAUAAUUCAAACAUUUCAAUCACCUUAAUAA
rnacentral:tRNA from 1 species